AGAGUUUGAUCCUGGCUCAGGACGAACGCUGGCGGCGUGCUUAACACAUGCAAGUCGAACGAUGAUCUCCAGCUUGCUGGGGGUUUUAGUGGCGAACGGGUGAGUAACACGUGAGUAACCUGCCCUUGACUCUGGGAUAAGCCUGGGAAACUGGGUCUAAUACCGGAUACGACCGACCGCCGCAUGGUGUGUUGGUGGAAAGCUUUUGUGGUUUUGGAUGGACUCGCGGCCUAUCAGCUUGUUGGUGGGGUAAUGGCCUACCAAGGCGACGACGGGUAGCCGGCCUGAGAGGGUGACCGGCCACACUGGGACUGAGACACGGCCCAGACUCCUACGGGAGGCAGCAGUGGGGAAUAUUGCACAAUGGGCGGAAGCCUGAUGCAGCGACGCCGCGUGAGGGAUGACGGCCUUCGGGUUGUAAACCUCUUUCAGUAGGGAAGAAGCGUAAGUGACGGUACCUGCAGAAGAAGCGCCGGCUAACUACGUGCCAGCAGCCGCGGUAAUACGUAGGGCGCAAGCGUUAUCCGGAAUUAUUGGGCGUAAAGAGCUCGUAGGCGGUUUGUCGCGUCUGCUGUGAAAGACCGGGGCUCAACUCCGGUUCUGCAGUGGGUACGGGCAGACUAGAGUGCAGUAGGGGAGACUGGAAUUCCUGGUGUAGCGGUGAAAUGCGCAGAUAUCAGGAGGAACACCGAUGGCGAAGGCAGGUCUCUGGGCUGUAACUGACGCUGAGGAGCGAAAGCAUGGGGAGCGAACAGGAUUAGAUACCCUGGUAGUCCAUGCCGUAAACGUUGGGCACUAGGUGUGGGGGACAUUCCACGUUUUCCGCGCCGUAGCUAACGCAUAAGUGCCCGCCUGGGGAGUACGGCCGCAAGGCUAAAACUCAAAGGAAUUGACGG
rnacentral:rRNA from 1 species